CGACAGGACUGGAGCUGGACUCCUCUCUCACUGCAUCAGGAAGGGGGCAAAGCCAGGAACUUCUCAGCAUCCCCUUGUAUAAUGGGGUCCGGCAGAGAUCCGUACGUAUUCCAACAGACAAGCGGAGAACCAGAAGGACACAAAUCGCUGCAUGUCUGCUGGAACAGUCAUGCCAGAGUUUUGAAGCGGUUAGGCCAGCUUUCUGAAGGGAGUCCACUACAGCCUGCACUUUGGGUAUCUUCAUGCUUCUUCAAGGACCUUAGUUACAAUGUCUGAAACUGUGCUGCACAAGCUCAGUAGUGAAGACCAGAGGAGGAAGUUCACUACUGGACAUGACUGCAGUCAUC